GAGCAAACAGGAUUAGAUACCCUGGUAGUCCACGCCCUAAACGAUGAAUGCUAGUUGUUGUGGUGCUAGUCACUGCAGUAAUGCAGCUAACGCAAUAAGCAUUCCGCCUGGGGAGUACGGUCGCAAGAUUAAAACUCAAAGGAAUAGACGGGGACCCGCACAAGCGGUGGAGCAUGUGGUUUAAUUCGAAGAUACGCGAAGAACCUUACCUGGGCUUGACAUCCCGAGAACCGACCAGAGAUGGUUGGGUGCUGCUUCGGUAGAACUCGGUGACAGGUGCUGCACGGCUGUCGUCAGCUCGUGUCGUGAGAUGUUGGGUUAAGUCCCGCAACGAGCGCAACCCUCGUCCUUAGUUGCCAGCACUUAGGGUGGGCACUCUAAGGAGACUGCCUGGGUAACCAGGAGGAAGGUGAGGACGACGUCAAGUCAUCAUGGCCCUUAUGUCCAGGGCGACACACGUGCUACAAUGGCGUGUACAAUGAGAGGCGAUACCGCGAGGUGGAGCAAAUCUAUAAAACACGUCCCAGUUCGGAUUGCAGUCUGCAACUCGACUGCAUGAAGUUGGAAUCGCUAGUAAUCGUAGAUCAGCCAUGCUACGGUGAAUACGUUCCCGGGUCUUGUACUCACCGCCCGUCACACCAUGGGAGUUGAUUUCACCCGAAGCGGGGAAGCUAAACCGGCUACCUGCCACGGUGGGAUCAGCGACUGGGGUGAAGUCGUAACAAGGUA
rnacentral:rRNA from 1 species